GAUGAACGCUGGCGGCGUGCCUAAUACAUGCAAGUCGAGCGAACAGACGAGGAGCUUGCUCCUCUGACGUUAGCGGCGGACGGGUGAGUAACACGUGGAUAACCUACCUAUAAGACUGGGAUAACUUCGGGAAACCGGAGCUAAUACCGGAUAAUAUAUUGAACCGCAUGGUUCAAUAGUGAAAGACGGUUUUGCUGUCACUUAUAGAUGGAUCCGCGCCGCAUUAGCUAGUUGGUAAGGUAACGGCUUACCAAGGCAACGAUGCGUAGCCGACCUGAGAGGGUGAUCGGCCACACUGGAACUGAGACACGGUCCAGACUCCUACGGGAGGCAGCAGUAGGGAAUCUUCCGCAAAGGGCGAAAGCCUGACGGAGCAACGCCGCGUGAGUGAUGAAGGUCUUCGGAUCGUAAAACUCUGUUAUUAGGGAAGAACAAAUGUGUAAGUAACUAUGCACGUCUUGACGGUACCUAAUCAGAAAGCAACGGCUAACUACGUG
rnacentral:rRNA from 1 species